rnacentral:tRNA from 1 species
GGGGAUGUGGCUCAAGCGAUAGAGUGCUCACCUGGCAUGCGCGGGGCGCUGGGUUCAAUCCUCAGCACCACA